rnacentral:rRNA from 1 species
CCUACGGGAGGCUGUAGUGAGGAAUAUUGGUCAAUGGCCGCAGGGCUGAACCAGCCAAGUCGCGUGAGGGAUGACGGUCCUAUGGAUUGUAAACCUCUUUUGUCAGGGAGCAAAGGGCGCCACGUGUGGCGCUUUGCGAGUACCUGAAGAAAAAGCAUCGGCUAACUCCGUGCCAGCAGCCGCGGUAAUACGGAGGAUGCGAGCGUUAUCCGGAUUUAUUGGGUUUAAAGGGUGCGCAGGCGGAAUGUCAAGUCAGCGGUAAAAUUUCGGGGCUCAACCCCGUCGUGCCGUUGAAACUGGCGUUCUUGAGUGAGCGAGAAGUAUGCGGAAUGCGUGGUGUAGCGGUGAAAUGCAUAGAUAUCACGCAGAACUCCGAUUGCGAAGGCAGCAUACCGGCGCUCAACUGACGCUCAUGCACGAAAGCGUGGGUAUCGAACAGGAUUAGAUACCCCUGUAGUC